rnacentral:rRNA from 1 species
UACGUAGGGGGCAAGCGUUGUCCGGAAUCAUUGGGCGUAAAGCGCGUGUAGGCGGUCCGGUAAGUCCGCUGUGAAAGUCGGGGGCUCAACCCUCGGAUGCCGGUGGAUACUGUCGGGCUUGAGUACGGAAGAGGCGAGUGGAAUUCCUGGUGUAGCGGUGAAAUGCGCAGAUAUCAGGAGGAACACCAAUUGCGAAGGCAGCGCGCUGGGACGUUACUGACGCUGAGACGCGAAAGCGUGGGGAGCAAACAGG